rnacentral:rRNA from 1 species
CUCUAGAGAUAGAGUCUUCCCCUUCGGGGGACAAAGUGACAGGUGGUGCAUGGUUGUCGUCAGCUCGUGUCGUGAGAUGUUGGGUUAAGUCCCGCAACGAGCGCAACCCUUAAGCUUAGUUGCCAGCAUUAAGUUGGGCACUCUAAGUUGACUGCCGGUGACAAACCGGAGGAAGGUGGGGAUGACGUCAAAUCAUCAUGCCCCUUAUGAUUUGGGCUACACACGUGCUACAAUGGACAAUACAAAGGGCAGCUAAACCGCGAGGUCAUGCAAAUCCCAUAAAGUUGUUCUCAGUUCGGAUUGUAGUCUGCAACUCGACUACAUGAAGCUGGAAUCGCUAGUAAUCGUAGAUCAGCAUGCUACGGUGAAUACGUUCCCGGGUCUUGUACACACCGCCCGUCACACCACGAGAGUCUGUAACACCCGAAGCCGGUGGAGUAACCAUUUAUGGAGCUAGCCGUCGAAGGUGGGACAAAUGAUUGGGGUGAAGUCGUAACAAGGUAGCCGUAUCGGAAG